rnacentral:lncRNA from 1 species
ACAAACAGUGCAAAAUUCCUAGAGAUAUUUUGUCCAUAAACUGAAGAACAUUUCUUCUUCUUUUAAAUUUACUUAGCUUUGCUGGUUAUUCAAUAUAAUUGAACAAAUUAUACCUGAAUUGUAUUUCCUUAUACUUUAAUGCUGCUAGGAAAGAGUCUUAAUAUCCACUUCACUUUCUUAUAUGUAGCAAUUUCUAAAGCAACAAUGCUUAACAGGGAAUGAAACCAAUUAAGACACCAGAUCUUUGUUACCCUUGUUUAUCUCCAGGAGAAGGUAAAAGUCAACUGCAUCUAAAGACCAUAAUAAAAUCGGCAACACAGCAAUGUGCUAAAUAUAUUAAGUUUAUUGUAACUCUUCUAGAAAAAAAUGUAAUGAAAUAAAAGCAUAAUGAUUUAGAAACCAACCAGCAAUUUUAAUCUAAAAGCAUAAAGCCUUACUACUAUUUCCUAUUCAAAGAAUAUUUCCCAUUUCUCCUAAAAAACUAAAAACGUGUACCUGGGAUUGGGUACCACAGGAAAUGCAUAAAGGACAGUGGAGCAGAAGAGUCCAUCCAGCUGAGGUUAUAAAGCCAAUUAUUUCAUUUGACUCUGUCACCUUGGUUUCAUAGUUUUCUCAGGCAAAGCUUAACAGCCUGAAAACAAAAGCAGAUAAAGCAUGUGGCAGAAGUAGCCCAGGAUUCAAGGAUGAGUACAGGAAAAGUAAAAUAGAAAGCGCCGUGGAAGAGGCACGGUUAUAGCUGCCCACCGUGGUGGUCAGGACAACAAAGCUAAGAUGUGAUGGAGAGAAUAGGAAUGAGAAAUUGGCAAAGAAGGCUCUAGUGUGCAAAAAGGGAAGCUUGAAGGGAAGUUCAGUAUUCUUGAACUUGGAUCAGGUUGGGGAGUUCCAAGGGGAAAAGUGGGAGUGAUGAUGACUUUACUUAAGGAGAACCAGAGUGAAGGGGAAAUAAAGGUCAGUACAGCUGAGAAUGAGGGUGAAGCUGAGAUAUUAAAAAUGCUACAGACAAGAAAAGUAGCAAGCCUUGAGAGGAAGAAGAAAACAAUGAAGAACUACCAUUGAGGAAAGAGGGAAAAUGCCCAGAAGGAGCCCCAACAGCAGGGAUGAGGCUGAAGGAAAUGAAAAUGGAGAAAGAAACCCAAAGGAAGAAAUGUUCUCAAAGAGAAAUCAUUGAAUCAUUUUGCAUAAUAAAGCUCUGGAAAUCCUAAUGGGUAGGGGAAAAUAUGGCGUACUCCUCCUCUAUUUUCCUAAAAAUAAGAGAGAGUAGGAGAGUCGUCUAUUGAAGAGUCUGGAAAGAAGUACUCAAGGGGAGAAUGUCAGAAGGCUAAGCCAGUUAUCAAGGAAGCCAGGAGAGUCUCCCUUUGUUUGUGUAUUCAGAGACAAUAGGCAUCCUUACUCAAGUGACCUGGCCAUGUUCCAGUGAAGACUGUGAAAGAGGCCUUUUGAAACGGGAAAAAAAGGAAUAAUACCUUAAUAAGAACUAAGAGUAAUGAGAACCUAAAUUUCAGGUGACCAAAUAUUCCCACAUUUCUGAAUAUCCUGGGUGUACAAAUACUGCUGGUUUAUAGACUGCACUUCGAACAGCAAAGAAUUACAGAGCAUAAAAUUAAACCACAGCUUUGCUUAACAUAAUUCACAUUGGCUGGACAUUUCCCAUCAUCCAAAAUCAAUGGGUAUAGCAAUAUAAAUUCAGAGGUUUUUCCUGACAUUUUCAAAAAAUCAAAAUAUUUGCAAGAAAAUAAUAAUACAGUGAUCAUAGAAAUAAAAUUAUUUGCCCAAUUAUACACUGCAUAGGGAAGAUAGAAUAAAAUAAUCUUACCCUAGGACUCUGAGUCAUUGCCUAACUUUAUAAAAAUAUCAGGAGAGUAUUAGGUGUCUCACUAUUAUUGAACAUUAAAGUCAAAGAGCAAUUCAUGGAACCCAGAUGCAGGAAGUCAUUUAAGAAUUUGAUAACAGUCCCUGCUUUCUAGCUUGCUGUAAAUUUUCAUAGCUUUACUAAGAAUUUCUUCUGAUUUGCAAAAUAAUUGGAGGCAAAGAAAAAAAAACCUUAUUUUAAAUAAAUCUUCACCCAGUUUAUGUGAACAAAUACAUAAGAAAAAUGGAAAAAUGAUUAAGAAUAUAUUCUCCCUAUUAGUGAUUCUCAACCGCAGAUGCCUAAGUACACAUAAAUCAUGGAGGGAAAGACCUGACUUCUGUAAGGAAACAUGACAUCUGACCAACCUACUCGCAUUUCCCAAGAGGGUAUCCAUAGACAGAGAAACAUCAGACCAUGUUUCACACUAAAAAGAUUUUAAAAAUCAGGUUAACAUGAAUUUAGGGCUUUGCCUAACAUCAUUGAGGGUAGCCAAGAUAUACUUGUUGUCACCUAAGAUCAACAUAAUAAAACAGGGUCAGAAUUUAAAAAGAAAAAACCUAAAAGCUAAAUUUUCUGUGUAAAAAACCCACACUAACUCACUUAAUGUCUGCUUAAUUCUACAUUGGUCACGAAUAAUUAGUUUAGGAAGAAGAAAAAAAGGCAGUAAUCAACCUGGACUUUUCUGAUAAAAGUAGUUUAAACAAGUGCACCUCAGAGACCCUUUCUAGUACAAUGACUGUUUUACAUGUUUAUGAAGCAGUGAAGAGGGGGAAUCUCUAGCUCAGCCGUGACAAUAAGCUCUGCGAGGCAAUCAAAAGUCAAGAGAUUCUUCACGUACUGCAAGAUUGUGCAUCUUCAUGGCUGGAUAGGAAAUUGCAAACUCAGAGAAACUCACUCUAUUAAGCAUUGAAGAAAGUCAAAUAAAAUGUAGCCUUGGCCUUCUAGGAGCUCAAGUGCACAGAGAGGGAGAAAUAUCAAUUAUUACCUGCAACAUGAGGACUGAUGGAGUUGUGCACCUAGAGUCAUGAGCUGCAGGGAUGAAGUGAUUGUGUUGAGGUGUCAGGCAAGGCUUCAUCGGUCAUAAGCAUCAUGAAAGAUGGGAUGGAUUGUACAGAGACAACAUGAUGCAGUAAGGGCCUUCUACGAGGAGGGAGCAGCUGCCCCUACGACAUCCAACAGGGUGACUUAUGAAGAGGAAGUGAAGGGACACAAGCUGACAGAGUCUUCAGGAUGGAGACUACCAAUGGCCUUUAAAAUAGGACCACAACCCCAAAGUCAUAGGAUCUACUAAAUAAGAUACACUGUGAGGAAAAUAAAAAAUAGAAACAAGUACUACAAAAGAAGCAGAAAUCAUCAUGUACAAAACCAUGGCCUAAAUAAGGCUUCCUUGGGAAAGAUCUAAUUAACUUGAGAAGGUUCAGAGAAAAGCUUUUAAAAUAAUCAGAAAAUGAAAGGAAGAAGCUAAUAUAUCAAGACAACUUGCAAAGAUUAAGGCUCUAAAGUUUGGAACUAGAGAGGAGUGAAGUCUACGAAACCAUGUCAUCUACAGAAGAUUAUUCUCUAAAUUUCAGAACACUAGCUUAAAAGUGAAUCCUUGAAGAUUAAAGGAAAAAGAAAGUGCUUCUGGAGCAUCCAAGAACUAUAUAAAUUUCCCAGGCAAUUCACUUUUCAGUGUAAGAACGGACUUGCCCAAAGUAGUCUCCCCUUGUAAAAUCCCACUCAUCCUUUCAGGCUCACUUCAUGUCAUCUCCAGAGCUUCCCCAAUCAGUCUCCCAAGCCUUCUACAGCAUAUGACAACUCUUCACACUCUCUCUGUAAAGUAAAGAAAUUGCCUGAGGCCAGUGACCUUUGCUCAUAUUUGAGUAUUUACUCUUAUUUGUAUACUCAACAGUACCUAGAUUCAAUAAAUGCAUACUUAUUUAAUGCAAAAAUAUCUGCGCUUAAUACUUCUACACAAUCAAGAAAUGAGAAAGACAAUACCCUAAGAGGUUUUGCAUUUGUUAGGGAGAUCAGAUAACGAACUAAAGUACUAUAAAACAAAAUCAAGGAGGACAAUACCAUUAAAGAAUACAUUUGGGUAAUUUUUUGUUCAUUCAUCCCCACCUCAUUCCGAAAGCAUUUCUGAUUGCUUACAAAAACACACCAGAACAAUGCAAAGACUAGUAGUCAGGGUAAAGGAAAGUAGUAAUAAUAGAAAAAGAUGAUGUCAAUGCAAUUCACAAAAAGUUUAAGGGAAGUUAAGACAGAGCUGGAGAGCAAAAUCAUUAGUCAUGGGAUUCGCAGCAAUAGUUGUUCAGAAGUUGAGCCUCUCCUGACAUUGAGGCUCAGGAGACGUUCAUAAAGCAAACACCGUGUGCUGUGCAGACCUUCUCCUUGCCCGCUCCACUGUGAUGAACAUGACAAUGACUUUCCUCAGUCUGGCCAAUGACAGAACGCCACGGUACAACUCAGUAAACGCACUUCUCAAGGGAGUCAAAAUGAAGCUCUGAGAUGGUCUGGCUUGAAUUAAGGAACGAGAUCUGAUCUCUAGGAAAAUGGAUGGAUUACAUAUGCUGCAGUAAUACUUCACAGAUAAUAUUUUUCAGGACUGAGUUUUGAUAAGGCACAGUGGCUCAGAGUUUGAGAAGAAACAGGAAUGAAUUAAGGGCAUGCUGAACUUGGCUAACAGCCAGGAUUGCCUCAUCGCAUGAAAACCUGACAGCUGGACGUGGAUCUUAUCUCAGUGGGAGGAAGAUUAUGAUUUCUCUCAAGAAACGGUCCUGGAUCCUCUUUAUCAUGCUCAUCCAUGGGUGCCUGAGAUGCUAGAGACUUGGAGUCUGGCCACAAGGACUUUAGGAUACACAAUUUUCAAAGUAGGCAUUCCCAGUCAUCAUACUAUUAAAGACAUGUAAGACAACAUCUGGAAAAUAUUUCACAUUAGGGAAUGUUUCAGGUUAUCUUUCAAGACAAACUGGCGACAAAAUAGACUCUUGCGCCCUAAGUGAGACAACUUGCUCUACAGAACUGUCAGCUAUGAAUUAAUAAAAUGUUAAAAGAUGUCUGCAACUGAUUUUAGAGAGAGUUCUCUGAAAUCAUUCUUAAAGACAAUAAUUAGAUAACAGGAAGAAUUUUCGUUAAAGACCACGCCCCUUUCCACCUCCCAGUUUGUGGUAAUACAGUCAUAAUACUGCAAGAGAAAGAACGUGAUUUUUCUCAUUUCUAGGUGGGAAGAAAAGUGAGAAGGGGCAUAUACCCCACCCACCUAGAAGUAUAUAAACUAUUAAGAUAUUCCUAUUUCACCUGCUCAAAAAUAUGAGCAGACCCUGAUUUUAAUGACUACAGUUUAAGCACCACAGCUGUUAGGUAGCGGGGCCAUAACUGAGUAGCAAAGAGAGGAGGGCACCGACAUUAUGGUUAUAGACACAACUUAGAGUCUUCUCCAAAAUCAAGGCUCCCCACCAAAAACACUGGUGCAUUGUUAAGACAUUUCCCUCAAGGUACUGAAUAUGAAUAUCAUGAAAGCUGCUUGCUAAUUUUGUUCAAAGUUGGCAUGAACUUAAAAGCUGUCAUCAUUCUGAUUUGGGUCCAGAGUUAGGGGCAAAAAUGAUCAUUCUUCACAGAGAACCAGAAAAGCAAAGCCCACCAGAGUGAGGAAUGGAAGCCAACCCUUUGAAAAGGUCCUCAGACAAUUUCACAGGCAGGGCAACUUCACACCAGCCACCUCCUGCAUGAAAGAUAGUUAUAAGCAAGCAAGAGAAACAAUCCUUGGCAUCUAUUAAGUCUGCAACAUUUGAAGCUGAGAAUGGCAACUAUCCAAAUUUCAGCAAAGCAGAGUCUAGGUUUCCAUAAGCACAAUAAUCAAAUUCACUCCAUAAGCAAACACAUCAAAAAUUGCCCACAUUACAUUUCUAAGAGUCAUGUGAAGAUUUUCCUGCAAUUUAUUUUGGACUUUUGCUUGUUGUUUUUGUUGUUACUGUUGUUUCUGAGGCACUGAGAUAUGCAUGUUGGACAAAGAGCUGCAGAAGAUUGAAAGAAAGGAGAUCUUAUAUCCAACUGGAGAUAAGCAGUCAGAAGUAGGAAUAAAGAUGCGUCUUUGUGGGGGACACUAAAUUUUGUCAAAAUGAAGAAAGCAUUCUAAAAGAGGCAAUUCCUAUUUACCCAGACUUAGGCAAUUUGUUAAGAAGUAAAGCCAGGCCUGGAAAGACAAGUUAGUGGAAAAUUCGGAAUGGCCCUGAAUGAUGACGUAAGGUUUAAGCAAUGGUGAUGGUGUUGAACUGAAUCUGGACGUGAAAUUACAACACUGGGUAAGCAUCCCAUGUUGUUCUUUCAGUGAUUUCAAAGGGAUAUACAAAUCAUAAGACCAAUUCUGGAAAUUUUAGGAAUGAAAUCUAAACUACUCCAGAGUUCCAGAAACAAACUUCAAGCAUCAUCCAAUGGCUUUAUUCAAAAAUCGAAAAGAUACACCUACAUCUAUUACCCUUCAUUGCUGCGUCUUUUUACAUAAGUGUUCUGUACCCACAGGAGCACUCUGAUGUUGAUACAGAUCCAGGUUUUACAUCAUUUUAAAGGUUCCUGGAAUUGGAAUUACAUUAAUGACCACAGUAACUACUAGCGCAGUUAAAUGUCUCAAUAUCCACCACCUCGAAGUGUUUUAAACUGGAUGACACCCUAUUCAAACACACCCACUUGCAAGCUACUAAUUUACAUUAGGUUAGAGAUUGCUGCAAGCUCUAACCUAACCUGUGCCCUAUCUCUAAAUGUCUUGCACUCCCCGGCUCACCACUACAAAAAACCCCAAGAAUAUAAUUCAAUCAUUUCCCAUGCUUACGGCAGUAAUUCCACAUCAUUCUUAAUUCUAAUAUAAAGGUUAUGCUAUUGACCCACCAUCAGUGGAUCAUGGGUAUUAAGUGGCUUUCUGGGAACGGGGCUGUUGAAUCCUUUCACACACCAUUGCCGAGUGACCUUUGCAAAACCACCCACAUACUCCUUACACAACAUAAAAUGAAAUACAAAGUGAGAAGACAUAUUCUUCCAGAUAUAUUGAAGGUGGUAAACAGGGCUUUAGGAUUGCUAAAUUCUGGCCGUAUUUGUAUAGACAUUGGGGUGUUUUAAAUGACUUCACUGUUAAUUUUUAACCAUAAUUAAUGUUUAUCAAAACUGCAUUAGGCUUCUUUUUCAAAAACAAAGUAAAUGAUUUAAAUCUUUCAGGCCCUAUUUUUAUCAGAAGUCAGCAGCCCUUAAGAAGUAAUGUGCCAAGCUACUGAUUUCUCCUGGUAAGCAAGGGGAAAAAGAGAUAGGAGCCCAGGACAGGCAACUCAAAGAUAUCUGUGAUGCCAAGAUAGGUGAAGCCUUCUUGACAAACCUACUUCAAACCAAACUUUGGAACCUGCAGAAUCCCCUUUUUUAAUGCUUCAUUCUUUCUGGUGGUACUUAUCACGAUUUAACACACUAUGUGGGCUGUUUUUUAUCCACCUCUCCAGGGCAGAGAUUUCUGUCUGUUUUGUGUCCAUGCCUAUAACAGAGGCUGUUAACUAGCAGGAUUUUCAGUGACUAUUCGUGGGAAGAAGGGAAAAAAAGAAGGGAAUUCCAUGUAAAGAUCCCAUAGGCCUAUUUAGCUAUAGUUUCUAACUUAUGUCACUUUAAUUAGAAACCAACCCUGCCUUAAAACCUAGAUGAGACUAGCCACUAAGAACAUUCUUCUAGUUGUAAAGAGGCAAUGAAGAGGCCCAGAUAAUAUUUUGCAAUUCAAUCACAAAAGCGUGCUUUUAAGGAACAACAACAAAAACAAAGCAGAGAAAUAAAACGGUCUUCACAGCUGACACUGUCACAGCAGCUCACGUUGCCUGAAUGCCCUCUUUCUCAAAGAUCAGGGCCUUCCUGGGCCUUAGUGGUGCCUAAGUGGUGCUACCAAACUGAACUAAAGCUUAAAAUUAUAACACGAAAAUGUCUAUCAGUCAGCCUUAUUUUUGACAGGUGCGCUCACACUUUCACAGAUUUUUGAGAGAAGGGAUCUAAAAAAUGUGUGUUUACCUUUAAACCAGGCGAAAAGAACAAUGCAACCUUUUUUCUUUUUUUCAGUCUCACAUCCAUUCCCUG